UCCCCACGUCUCUUUAAUUGGAAAGAAUCUUUCCGCGCAGGCUGGUGAGGAUGAUAUUCUACUGAUGUCCAUGUGUCUGUUCUGGACUGCUACCACUGCUGUCCAACUCUUCCGUUUCCAACCUGACUGCUGACACGAUUAACCCACCAUCUCGCUGAAAUACUCCGCUCUGGAAAGUCCAGGUGCUCUGCGUGAGUUUGCCAGUCCCUUGGCUCAGCGGGUUUGAGCAUCGCUAACUGUACUCAGCUCUCUUCUGUCUGCGAGGAAACACUGGUUACUGGUCGCUGCCAAGGAACCCAUCGAGGCAGACCUGACUCCUAGAAACAUUUUCCUGCUUCCUUCUGCAUAGAAAGGCAAAUGCGCACGGGACAUUUUCCUUCAAAAAUUUAAGUGAAUCAAAGCUCGGUUCUUCUUGAACAAGGGAAGAAGAUGUCUUACAGUUUUCCGUCUUGAAGAGCAAAGCCUUCACACACCAGCCUUGACCUUGGGUCUGUGGCGGCCCUCCACCUGGUGAUGCUAUCUCCAGGCAAACAGAGGU